GGCGCACGGGUGAGUAAGGUAUAGUUAAUCUGCCCUACACAAGAGGACAACAGUUGGAAACGACUGCUAAUACUCUAUACUCCUGCUUAACACAAGUUGAGUAGGGAAAGUUUUUCGGUGUAGGAUGAGACUAUAUAGUAUCAGCUAGUUGGUAAGGUAAUGGCUUACCAAGGCUAUGACGCUUAACUGGUCUGAGAGGAUGAUCAGUCACACUGGAACUGAGACACGGUCCAGACUCCUACGGGAGGCAGCAGUAGGGAAUAUUGCGCAAUGGGGGAAACCCUGACGCAGCAACGCCGCGUGGAGGAUGACACUUUUCGGAGCGUAAACUCCUUUUCUUAGGGAAGAAUUCUGACGGUACCUAAGGAAUAAGCACCGGCUAACUCCGUGCCAGCAGCCGCGGUAAUACGGAGGGUGCAAGCGUUACUCGGAAUCACUGGGCGUAAAGGGCGCGUAGGCGGAUUAUCAAGUCUCUUGUGAAAUCUAAUGGCUUAACCAUUAAACUGCUUGGGAAACUGAUAGUCUAGAGUGAGGGAGAGGCAGAUGGAAUUGGUGGUGUAGGGGUAAAAUCCGUAGAUAUCACCAAGAAUACCCAUUGCGAAGGCGAUCUGCUGGAACUCAACUGACGCUAAGGCGCGAAAGCGUGGGGAGCAAACAGGAUUAGAUACCCUGGUAGUCCACGCCCUAAACGAUGUACACUAGUUGUUGGGGUGCUAGUCAUCUCAGUAAUGCAGCUAACGCAUUAAGUGUACCGCCUGGGGAGUACGGUCGCAAGAUUAAAACUCAAAGGAAUAGACGGGGACCCGCACAAGCGGUGGAGCAUGUGGUUUAAUUCGAAGAUACGCGAAGAACCUUACCUGGGCUUGAUAUCCUAAGAACCUUUUAGAGAUAAGAGGGUGCUAGCUUGCUAGAACUUAGAGACAGGUGCUGCACGGCUGUCGUCAGCUCGUGUCGUGAGAUGUUGGGUUAAGUCCCGCAACGAGCGCAACCCACGUAUUUAGUUGCUAACGGUUCGGCCGAGCACUCUAAAUAGACUGCCUUCGUAAGGAGGAGGAAGGUGUGGACGACGUCAAGUCAUCAUGGCCCUUAUGCCCAGGGCGACACACGUGCUACAAUGGCAUAUACAAUGAGACGCAAUACCGCGAGGUGGAGCAAAUCUAUAAAAUAUGUCCCAGUUCGGAUUGUUCUCUGCAACUCGAGAGCAUGAAGCCGGAAUCGCUAGUAAUC
rnacentral:rRNA from 1 species